rnacentral:rRNA from 1 species
UACGUAGGUGGCAAGCGUUGUCCGGAUUUACUGGGCGUAAAGGGAGCGUAGGCGGAUGUUUAAGUGGGAUGUGAAAUACUUGGGCUCAACUUGAGUGCUGCAUUCCAAACUGGAUAUCUAGAGUGCAGGAGAGGAAAGGAGAAUUCCUAGUGUAGCGGUGAAAUGCGUAGAGAUUAGGAAGAAUACCAGUGGCGAAGGCGCCUUUCUGGACUGUAACUGACGCUGAGGCUCGAAAGCGUGGGGAGCAAACAGG